GCCAGUGUGGCCUAGUGGUUUGAGUGUUGGGCUCUGGUUCUGGAAACCAGGGUUCAAUUCCCAGCUCAGUCA